GUAGGUGGCAAGCGUUGUCCGGAAUUAUUGGGCGUAAAGCGCACGCAGGCGGUUCUUUAAGUCUGAUGUGAAAGCCCACGGGCUCAACCGUGGAGGGUCAUUGGAAACUGGAGAACUUGAGUACAGAAGAGGAAAGCGGAAUUCCACGUGUAGCGGUGAAAUGCGUAGAGAUGUGGAGGAACACCAGUGGCGAAGGCGGCUUUCUGGUCUGUAACUGACGCUGAGGCGCGAAAGCGUGGGGAGCAAACAGGAUUAGAUACCCUGGUAGUCCACGCCGUAAACGAUGAGUGCUAAGUGUUAGGGGGUUUCCGCCCCUUAGUGCUGCAGCUAACGCAUUAAGCACUCCGCCUGGGGAGUACGGCCGCAAGGCUG
rnacentral:rRNA from 1 species